rnacentral:snRNA from 1 species
UUAGUGACGCCUGCAAAAU